rnacentral:rRNA from 1 species
GACGUAGGGUGCGAGCGUUGUCCGGAUUUAUUGGGCGUAAAGAGCUCGUAGGCGGCUCGUCGCGUCGACCGUGAAAACCCGCAGCUUAACUGCGGGCCUGCGGUUGAUACGGGCGGGCUAGAGUUCGGUAGGGGAGACUGGAAUUCCUGGUGUAGCGGUGAAAUGCGCAGAUAUCAGGAGGAACACCGGUGGCGAAGGCGGGUCUCUGGGCCGAUACUGACGCUGAGGAGCGAAAGCCAGGGGAGCAAACGGG